GGCGAGGUCGCAUAGUGGUCUAGUGCAGCCGCCUUGAAAGCGGCCGAGGUGAGAGCCUCCGUGGGUUCGAAUCCCACCCUCGCCG
rnacentral:tRNA from 1 species